GACGAACGCUGGCGGCGUGCUUAACACAUGCAAGUCGAACGGAAAGGCCUCUUUCGGGGGGUACUCGAGUGGCGAACGGGUGAGUAACACGCGAGUGACCUGCCCUCGUCUUUGGGAUAACUUCAGGAAACUGGGGCUAAUACAGGCUAGGAGCUCCUGCUGCACGGGGGGGGUUGUAAAGUUUCGGCGGUUGGGGGUGGACUCGCGGCUUAUCGGCUUGUUGGUGGGGUAGUGGCUUACCAAGGCUUUGACGGGUAGCCGGCCUGUGGGGGUGACCGGCCACAUUGGGACUUAGGGACGGCCCAGACUCCUACUGGAGGCAGCAGUGGGGAAUAUUGCCCAAUGGGUGGAAGCCUGAUGCAGCAAGGCCUUGUGCGGGAUGACGGCCUUCGGGUUGAAAACCGCUUUCGCUCAUGACGAAGCUUUGUGUGACGGUAGUGGGUAAAGAAGCACCGGCUAACUACGUG
rnacentral:rRNA from 1 species